rnacentral:lncRNA from 1 species
AAGAACACAGACUUGGAAAGCCGUCGGUGUUCUCUCACUGGCUUUCUCACUACUCCGUUUCUGUGAACCAUUUACAGGGCACACACCUCUCACAGACAGCUCAGCUCUUUCGAGCCAGCGGAGUAAUUUUCCAACUUCCUUUUGGACCAGCUCUUACCAACCCCCACCCGCGCCUUGUUUGGGGGGAGUUCAUCCUGACUUCCAAGUCACUGCACCCCACGGCACCUUUACUACAGCAGAUCCCAACUCUUGGCCAGGACAUGGCCUGCAUCAGACUGGCCCCGCCCCACCCCCCACUGCGUCUGAGUCUUGGCACUAUCCUCUGGCAUCUCAGGUGAGCCCGUCCUACAGCCACAUGCAUGACAUGUACCUGCGCCAUCAUCACCCUCACGCUCACGUGCACCAUCGCCACCACCACCACCACCACCCAACUGCUGGCUCUGCCUUGGAUCCCGCCUAUGGCCACCUGCUAAUGCCAUCAGUGCGAGCUGCCAGGAUUCCUGCUCCCCAGUGCGACAUCACCAAGACAGAUCUGACUACAGUCACCACGGCUACCUCAGCAUGGGCCGGAGCCUUUCAUGGGACAGUGGACAUCGUGCCAAGUGUGGGCUUCGAUACAGGUCUUCAGCAUCAGGACAAGAGCAAAGAAUCAACUUGGUACUGAAGCAUGGUAUCAGCAGAUCAUAUGGCAGCAUGAAUCCAAGAGCCCACUGGGAAAAGAUGCCAUUGGGAUAUCCCAUCCAGAAAUGGGACACAGGAAAUGUGGAGUGAGAAGAGAACAUAGAAGGCCAUUGUCUUUCGAUUUGAACCUUUUCUGGAGAAAACAUAGAGGGCUCUCCUAGUCCUUGAGGAAGAGCCUUUGGGUUUCUUUUCCCUCAUCUGAGCCUUUGUCAUCUGUGCAACGUCUUGUUUUACUUGCCUUGUACCAGUACCUGGGCUAGCUUUUGUAUGCCUUUUUAUUUUUCUUUUUGAACCAGUAACCUUGUAAAAAGAUGAUCUACCAAAUGAAAAUGCUCAUUUCUUCAGGAAAAACUAUUAACUCCAUCUUCAUCUAUUUUUAUAGAAAUACAAAAUGGUUGGUUUAGCAUGGAGGGGAUAUUUUUGAAGAUGUAAUUUUUUUUUUAAUGUUGUAACAGUCGUUGAGUUCUGUUUAAAGAACUUGCUCUCAGAAAAGCACUGGCCAAAAUGCUGAAGCGCUGAUCCAUCUUUAGAGUCUGUGAUGCGCUGUGUCUGUGCUUCCGAGGGUACCUCAAGGGUUUCAUCCUUCCUCCAACAGUGGCACUGCCGUAGACAAACCCUGCAACAUUGUGUUCAUGUUGAAACUCAGUGAAGACUUAAUUCGAUGAUAGCUCUCUUAGUUUGCUGUUAUAUAUGUCUGUGCAUCUUGAAAGGGGCAUUUUCCUUUAAAGGGACACAAAGGGAAGGGGACUUCUCCGAAAUAGUUCUUGGAGGUUGACUAACAAGAAAAAAAUUGGUUAAUGAACAAUACUUCUCUAUAUAGUCCAGCUUAUCUUAACAUUUAGGUGGAGAGCUUACACAUGGCUUCAAAAUAGGGAAAAAAAAAUCAAUGCAUUUAGCCAUGAUAACUGUGGACAUCACGGCUGAAUUUUCCUAAUUUCUAACCAUUCGUUCAUGGAUGACUUUGGAUGACUGUGUUUUCUGAAUACAAAUGAGUAGUAUCAGGAAAGGAAGGAGACACGUGUCAAAAUGCUGACUGUUCCUCAUCUUUGUAAAAGUGAUGUAUUCUUUAUGCAAUGUUUUCACUUGAUCAUUUUUGCAAGAUUUUCAUUUGCUUUUAAGUGUAAUUAGUUUCUAAAAAAUUAGAGCAAAAUAAAAGUGGUAAUGG